rnacentral:rRNA from 1 species
AUUGAACGCUGGCGGCAGGCCUAACACAUGCAAGUCGAGCGGAUGAAGGGAGCUUGCUCCUGGAUUCAGCGGCGGACGGGUGAGUAAUGCCUAGGAAUCUGCCUGGUAUUUGGGGAUAACGUCCGUAAACGGGCGCUAAUACCGCAUACGUCCUGAUGGUGAAAGUGGGGGAUCUUCGGACCUCACGCUAUCAGAUGUGCCUAGGUCGGAUUAGCUAGUUGGUGGGGUAAAGGCCUACCAAGGCGACGAUCCGUAACUGGUCUGAGAGGAUGAUCAGUCACACUGGAACUGAGACACGGUCCAGACUCCUACGGGAGGCAGCAGUGGGGAAUAUUGGACAAUGGGCGAAAGCCUGAUGCAGCAAUGCCGCGUGUGUGAAGAAGGUCUUCGGAUUGUAAAGCACUUUAAGUUGGGAGGAAGGGAAGUAAGUUAAUACCUUGCUGUUUUGACGUUACCAAAAGAAUAAGCACCGGCUAACUUCGUG